CCUACGGGAGGCUGCAGUGAGGAAUAUUGGUCAAUGGCCGAGAGGCUGAACCAGCCAAGUCGCGUGAGUGAAGACGGCCCUACGGGUUGUAAACCUCUUUUGUCGGGGAGCAAAGCGAGUCACGUGUGACUCAUUGAGAGUACGCGAAGAGAAAGCAUCGGCUAACUCCGUGCCAGCAGCCGCGGUACUACGGAGGAUGCGAGCGUUAUCCGGAUUUAUUGGGGUAAAAGGAUGAGCAGGCGGAGGUGCAAGUCAGCGGUAAAAUUGCGGGGCUCAACCCGGUACUGCCGUUGAAACUGCAUGCCUUGAGUGCGCGAGAGGUAUGUAGAAUGCGUGGUGGAGCGGUGAAAUGCAUAGAGAUCACGCAGAACUCCGAUUGCGAAGGCAGCAUACCGGCGCGAAACUGACGCUCAUGUACGAAAGCGUGGGUAGCGAACAGGAUUAGAUACCCUAGUAGUC
rnacentral:rRNA from 1 species